rnacentral:rRNA from 1 species
UACGUAGGAGGCAAGCGUUGUCCGGAGUUACUGGGCGUAAAGCGCACGCAGGCGGUCCUAUCAGUCUGGGGUGACAGUUCCCGGCCUAACCGGGAAAGUGCUCUGGAAACUGUAGGACUUGAGGGCUUCAGAGGGAUGUGGAAUUCCAGGUGGAGUGGUGAAAUGCGUAGGAGAUCUGGAAGAACACCAAAGGCGAAGGCAGCAUCCUGGGAAGUUCCUGACGCUCGGGUGC